CGCAAUAGUGGUUCGCCCCUCA
rnacentral:miRNA from 1 species